rnacentral:rRNA from 1 species
UACGGAGGGAGCUAGCGUUGUUCGGAAUUACUGGGCGUAAAGCGCGCGUAGGCGGCUUUGUAAGUGAGAGGCGAAAGCCCGGAGCUCAACUCCGGAACUGCCUUUAAAACUGCAUCGCUUGAAUCCAGGAGAGGUGAGUGGAAUUCCGAGUGUAGAGGUGAAAUUCGUAGAUAUUCGGAAGAACACCAGUGGCGAAGGCGGCUCACUGGACCGGCAUUGACGCUGAGGUGCGAAAGCGUGGGGAGCAAACAGG